rnacentral:rRNA from 1 species
UACGUAGGUGGCAAGCGUUGUCCGGAAUUACUGGGUGUAAAGGGCGUGUAGGCGGGUAUAUAAGUCAGAUGUGAAAUUCCGGGGCUCAACUCCGGGGCUGCAUCUGAAACUGAAUAUCUUGAGUGCUGGAGAGGAAAGCGGAAUUCCUAGUGUAGCGGUGAAAUGCGUAGAUAUUAGGAGGAACACCAGUGGCGAAGGCGCUUUUCUAGUUUAUUCCUGACGCUGAGAUGCGAAAGCAAGGGGAGCAAACAGG